ACAUACCACAUUCUCUUACAAAAUCUAACUUGUAACAGAUAAUUUACAUUUCUAGAGAACAAGCUCUUUAUGGUACAUAGAAAUAAUCCUGUCAUACAGUGACCAUUCAGAGAGGGAUAAAAACCUUAUAUAUGAAACUUUCACUAAUAACCUGAAACAUCACCACAGAGACAGUUGGGUUAUCCUGUUUGUUUGGACAUCCACUUAUUCACUUGAAAUGCAGGAAAUCUAUUUGAAAAAAACAAAACAAAACAUGAUCAGUUACUUGAUACAAUCAUGAGAUGUGAUCGAGAAAAACUUAUUAAGGAAUUAUUUUGUCAGAGUCAGUCUCUCUCAACAAGAUUUACAGGCCAGUUGUUGACAUUGUAGUAUCCUCUCUUUGAACACUGGAAUUGAGCAACUUCAAAGAGUCAUUGGACCAAGGUCUUCAUGCUUCAAAUAAACCUGCAUCAAAGAAACCUGGCUAGAAGACAAAGAUCAUGCUUUAUUCCCCCACAAAAGGAUUAUGUUUAGAUUUAAUGUUGAUGCCUCAGUUAAGUGCUCACUUUGAAAAUCAAUACAACAUUGUGUGCUUGGUUGGCUCAAUACCUCUCAGUCAAUAUUAAUAAAAAAACAGCAACAAAACAA
rnacentral:lncRNA from 1 species